CCUACGGGAGGCAGCAGUGGGGAAUAUUGGACAAUGGGCGAAAGCCUGAUCCAGCCAUGCCGCGUGUGUGAAGAAGGCCUUCGGGUUGUAAAGCACUUUCAGUGGGGAAGAAAGCCUUGGGGCUAAUACCCUCGAGGAAGGACAUCACCCACAGAAGAAGCACCGGCUAACUCCGUGCCAGCAGCCGCGGUAAUACGGAGGGUGCGGGCGUUAAUCGGAAUUACUGGGCGUAAAGCGCGCGUAGGCGGUCUGAUAAGCCGGUUGUGAAAGCCCCGGGCUCAACCUGGGAACGGCAUCCGGAACUGUCAGGCUAGAGUGCAGGAGAGGAAGGUAGAAUUCCCGGUGUAGCGGUGAAAUGCGUAGAGAUCGGGAGGAAUACCAGUGGCGAAGGCGGCCUUCUGGACUGACACUGACGCUGAGGUGCGAAAGCGUGGGUAGCAAACAGGAUUAGAUACCCUGUAGUC
rnacentral:rRNA from 1 species